rnacentral:lncRNA from 1 species
AGGGGAAGGUUGGGAGCAGAUGUUUGCAAGAGCCAGGAGGGUGGUGAGCCAGUGGAACAGGCUGUGCAGAGAAGCUGUGGAUGCCCUGUCCCUGGAAGGUUCCAGGCCAGGCAGGACGGGGCCCUGAGCACCCCGAUGGAGCGGGUGGCAGCAGAACCAGGCCAUGGCUGUGGUGCCUCCAUGGCCUUCUGGAACUGCAUGGGUGAGCAAAGCGGAGCCCUGUUAGCUGGGCAUGAAAUGUUGGCACCAGUUGCCAGGGGCACUCCUGCUCCCAAGGUUCUGUUGAAACAGAGACUGUUGAGCCAGUUGACAGAUUCUCUGCUGCACAGCACACGCAGAGCAUCCGUCUUCUCCAUCGCGGCUGGGAAUAGUCAGUCAUCCGCUGACAUUUGUGAGCCAAACUCUGGAGUGACUGUACAGGUGAGUGCAGACAACACUUGACAAUUCUGAUUGUCAUGCUUGAGGGGCUGGUCUGGGCUGCAGCAUGGGCUGCAGGUGGGUUCAAGUGCCAGAGUCACGGACUUCCCCUCUAGCUUUGAACAGGACCUGAAGACUUGGGAAUGGGAGUCUUGGGGCAUGGGGGUAUUCGAGAAAAUUGGCAUUCCAAAUAGAUCAUCUCCCCUGUACUUUUCUGAUAGGUUUGGAACAACAGUUUUGUGUCGCUCCAAAAAAUCUGCAGUGGGCUGCCCAAAGGAACAAAAAGGAUUGAUCAAAUCCCUGACAUUCCUUUUCUGGUCUUUGUCCCACCUACUUUGCCAGUGCAUUUAGAUCAGAAAACACCAUGAGCUCACAUCAGCAAAAGCGCCCGGGAAAGGCGUGUGAUUCCUGUCCACCUCGGAAACGGAGGAGGCUGCUGCCCUCCAGAGCAGGUGGAAGUUGGCAGACAGAGCCAACAGACCAUGAGGAAAGUUGUUCACCUGCUCUAGAAUCUGAAAUCAUAGAUCUCACAGGUGAAUCUUCUGAGCCUGAAGUCAUCACCAUCAAUGACAAAGAAUCUCCUGUGCAGAGCCAGCAGCAGCCACACCUUUCCAGGGCCCCAGAAAAUUCAGCUGAGCCACUGGAAAGGAAUGAUGAAGAGGAAGCAAGAGAAGAUGAUGGGGCACAGCCAGCAGAUCCUGCUAGUCCUCUGAGUAGGGAGGAUGACAACUCAGAGGAGCAGGACAGGGAGCAGAGUCAGCUGUAUCCCCUGGAUUCCAGCGAGACAGAGGAUUCAGCUGAGCUUUGGCCUAGUGACAACGAAGAGGAGCCAAGAGACAACGAUGAGUAUGUAACAGAUGAUGUGUCUCCCCAAAGUGUCAUUGCUGAUAUAGGGUAGACACAGGUUUUUGCCAAACUGUUGGAAUCUGCUUGAUUCUGUGAGAAGGAAUC